GAGGUUAUGGCUCAGUGGUAGAGCUCAUGCUUAGCAUGUACGAGGUCCUAAGUUCAAUCCUCAGUACCUCCA
rnacentral:tRNA from 1 species